rnacentral:rRNA from 1 species
GCACUGGGUGGAUGAGUGGCGAACGGGUGAGUAAUACGUGAGUAACCUGCCCUUGACUCUGGGAUAAGCCUGGGAAACUGGGUCUAAUACUGGAUACGACAUGUCACCGCAUGGUGGUGUGUGGAAAGGGUUUUACUGGUUUUGGAUGGGCUCACGGCCUAUCAGCUUGUUGGUGGGGUAAUGGCUCACCAAGGCGACGACGGGUAGCCGGCCUGAGAGGGUGACCGGCCACACUGGGACUGAGACACGGCCCAGACUCCUACGGGAGGCAGCAGUGGGGAAUAUUGCACAAUGGGCGGAAGCCUGAUGCAGCGACGCCGCGUGAGGGAUGACGGCCUUCGGGUUGUAAACCUCUUUCAGCACGGAAGAAGCGAAAGUGACGGUACGUGCAGAAGAAGCGCCGGCUAACUACGUGCCAGCAGCCGCGGUAAUACGUAGGGCGCAAGCGUUGUCCGGAAUUAUUGGGCGUAAAGAGCUCGUAGGCGGUUUGUCGCGUCUGCUGUGAAAGCCCGGGGCUUAACCCCGGGUGUGCA